UUUGAUCGAGUGCGGAGCAUUCGUCUUCUGGUACGGGGCCAUAGCUCCAGCUGGGAGAGCGCGUGCUUUGCCAAGCAUGAGGUCGUCGGUUCGAUCCCGUCUGGCUCCACCAGAUGGUUUGAUCACCAAUGGCGUCACCGUCGUCCGCGGAAACAUCACUUCGCAACUCAUUGGUCCGGAUGGACGGUGACGUGCGUGUUUUCUGACAUCGUAAAGAGGAGAUCGAUCCGAGUUUGGAUCAAGCGAAGCAAUUCGCCUGAGCCAUUCAUUAUCUCCGGGAUCAUUUCGGCGCUCGCUUUCAAUCGUGAGAUUGGAUGCGGGUUGUAAAUGAUCUCUUUUAGCGAAGCUUGACCGCCUCGCUAUCGGGCCGAUCUUACGAAGCAAGCUGGUCUUUCUAGUCAAUGUCCGGCUGCGCAAUCGCAUUCAUCGAGGAUGCGUGCCUGAGACUUCGGUCUUCGGGCAAUUGUGCAGACAACAUUCUGCCGAGUGUGUGGACAUUGAUAAUGAGAGC
rnacentral:tRNA from 1 species